UUAAAGUUGACUACAGGAGCAUAAUUAAUGAAGAGUGUGGAGUAAAACACAAAACAAACAUCAACAAUAUCUGUGACCUCGUUAUCACUACAAGAAACACUAAACAAUCCUCAGAUAUCCCCAGCUAUGCUCUGCAUCUAAAAACAGGUCCAGCCAAUGUUGGAACAUUUGACUUUAUAAAAGAAGGUUGGAGCAGAGAAUGGAA